UGUUAGCAUCUUCGUGGAUCCCCAGGGUGUGUGGUAUACUCGCCGCAAAUACUGAACAUGGCUCCUCUUCUCAAGAAAUCAAAUAGAAUCAAAUCGGGAUGAACUGGGAGCUCAGGAGACACUUGAAGCAGAGUUCAAGAAGGCUGAGACAACUGUGGAGCCAUGGGGAUGGAAGGCAGAAAAUUACCGAAUGUAUGAGGCCGACCGUGGAGAAAGUGUGAGUCCGCCUGUGACCCCUGUGACCCCUGUGACCCUGCCCUCGCUCCCACGGUGCCAGUGACAGGUCAGGGAGGUUUAGCAGCCGCAAGAGAAGACUGUACAUCCUCCUUUCAGAAUAACCCGAAACAUCUUGAACAGGAUGGAUUCAGAACCAUCAACUCUGAGGACAAAACGACUCUGAUGAGGAAGGGCCUUUACUGCCCUCACGUGGUGAAUGCAGGACAGCGCUGAAGGAAUCAAAUGGGACUUGUUCUACGUUGUAGGAGGCUGGAAGCCAUUCUAGUUGAAGUCGAUGAGAGGGACAUCUUUGGUGAAAUGCUGACAUCUUGUGGUAGCUGUGAGAAGAACUGUGGCAUUUCCAGGCAUGUGAGCCACCUAGACCCUUGAAGUCGGAAUUCAUUCUUAGGAAAACUGUGACUCCAGUUGAAUAAACCUUGGCAUUGGUA